GAUGAACGCUGGCGGCAUGCCUAAUACAUGCAAGUCGAACGAAGUGAAGAUAGCUUGCUAUUGGAUCUUAGUGGCGAACGGGUGAGUAACACGUAGGUAACCUGCCCAUAUGACUGGGAUAACUAUUGGAAACGAUAGCUAAUACCGGAUAGGUGAAGCGAAGGCAUCUUCGCUUCAUUAAAGUCGGGAUACGACACAUAUGGAUGGACCUGCGGCGCAUUAGCUAGUUGGUGAGGUAACGGCUCACCAAGGCGAUGAUGCGUAGCCGACCUGAGAGGGUGAACGGCCACACUGGGACUGAGACACGGCCCAGACUCCUACGGGAGGCAGCAGUAGGGAAUUUUCGGCAAUGGGGGAAACCCUGACCGAGCAAUGCCGCGUGAGUGAUGAAGG
rnacentral:rRNA from 1 species